GUGGCAGACGGGUGAGUAACGCGUGGGAAUCUACCGUACCCUACGGAAUAGCUCUGGGAAACUGGAAGUAAUACCGUAUACGCCCUAACGGGGAAAGAUUUAUCGGGGUAUGAUGAGCCCGCGUUGGAUUAGCUAGUUGGUGGGGUAAAGGCCUACCAAGGCGACGAUCCAUAGCUGGUCUGAGAGGAUGAUCAGCCACAUUGGGACUGAGACACGGCCCAAACUCCUACGGGAGGCAGCAGUGGGGAAUAUUGGACAAUGGGGGCAACCCUGAUCCAGCCAUGCCGCGUGAGUGAUGAAGGUCUUAGGAUUGUAAAGCUCUUUCAACGGUGAAGAUAAUGACGGUAACCGUAGAAGAAGCCCCGGCUAACUUCGUGCCAGCAGCCGCGGUAAUACGAAGGGGGCUAGCGUUGUUCGGAAUUACUGGGCGUAAAGCGCACGUAGGCGGGUAUUUAAGUCAGGGGUGAAAUCCCGCAGCUCAACUGCGGAACUGCCUUUGAUACUGGGUAUCUUGAGUAUGGAAGAGGUAAGUGGAAUUGCGAGUGUAGAG
rnacentral:rRNA from 1 species